UCAUGAUGUAUGUGUAAGUAUUAUGCCCUAGGUCCAAUCAACUUUGGACAUAAAUACUUUUAUAUAUAAUUAAUGCAAUUAAAUGGCAGAUCUAUUAUUUAAUUAAUAGACAAUUAAAUAAAUAAUAGAGUCCGUAGAUUCGAAUAUUUGUAAUUUGUUAAUCAUAAGGAGUUGUGAUUGUGAGAUACAAAUUACAUCUGAUUGAAUCUUAAAUCAUCCGUGGUCGUAAGUAAUAAUGAGAUACGGAUAUCGUUAUUACGGAUAGACCAUCACGUGUGGCAUUUCUUACUUGUGAAGUAAGUAGCUGAUCUCACAAGUUAAAGUGUGGUGACACUUAAAUGAACACGUGGAUGUUUGUUAUAGAACAAAACAUUGGAGACCCGUCGAGAGAUUCCACAUGGAUAACUAUCUGAGUGUCGGUGGUUAAUCUCUAACGUUCGGUAGUGAAAUUGGUCCUUUGACUUGAGGUCGUCAUGGUACGUUAUAUGAGGACAGUCAUACUUUGGCGGUGUUGGAUGUUGCUCUGAAAAGGGCAGCUAAUACGACAUCGUUCGGGUACGUCAAGAAUCGUAUGAAGGUUGUGAUUGAUCAAUAAAGGAUUCGUCACUCUUAGAUAGUAGGAGAUUAUGAUCUGCGUUUCAUCCAAUUAAGUCAAUGAUCAAAUCCUUGGCCAAGGUGUACUCAUAAGUCGAAAAGGAGUUUUCGAUUUAUAUUGACUUAAUAGUGG
rnacentral:lncRNA from 1 species